AGCUUAUCAAGAGUGGUGGAGGGACAGGCCCUGCGAAACCACAGCAACCGGUCCGGAAACGGGCGCCAGGUGCUAAUUCCUAGAGAUGAGCC
rnacentral:ncRNA from 2 species